GUAAUAUUAUGUACAUACAUACCCAUCUCAAAUACAACGAAGUAAUUCCAAAAGAAUAAUUUGUUUAGCUUCUGUAAAAGUGUUGUUUGUUGACUUCCAAACAAGCGAAAAGAAUUCAAUUUUGUAUAAAAAUUUAAGGACGCAUUCUCAUACUAAUGUCAUAUAGUUUUCCAGCUAUAACAUCUACGGCGGCAUUACUUUGGGCACAUAUUAAGAUUUUCUUAUCCAAAUAACGUACCUCUUCGCCGUAUAGUGUUUGUAGAGCAAGAUUGGUGAUAACACAACUUUUACCCGUACCGGGAGGGCCUUGUAUUAAGGUUACAUUCGGUGUAGUUUCAUCAAUAAUUUUCAUGUGGUGGUCUACAUUUUAGUAAUUCCAAGGGAUUUACAAGUUUCUGAAAAAGCGGAGUUGACUGCAAUUGAUAGACGGCGUUAAAUGCACCAAAAUGUACACGUACUUUAUCCAUAACAGGACGUACAUGAAAUUCUUUA
rnacentral:lncRNA from 1 species